AGUUUUCUUCGUUAGGUGAGGCUUCUACAUAGACAGAUGCCACUGCCCGGAAAUGUCGAGAGACUCUAACGGGUUAACAGGUACUACCGGCUUAAGGUUUUACCUAAUGUGGCUGGGGCACAUGUCCCUAGCUAUGUAUGUGCUAAAGCUUGUACGAGAGGAGAAGGCC
rnacentral:sRNA from 2 species